AUACGUAGGUCCCGAGCGUUGUCCGGGAUUUAUUGGGCGUAAAGCGAGCGCAGGCGGUUUCUUAAGUCUGAUGUGAAAGCCCCCGGCUCAACCGGGGAGGGUCAUUGGAAACUGGGAAACUUGAGUGCAGAAGAGGAGAGUGGAAUUCCAUGUGUAGCGGUGAAAUGCGUAGAUAUAUGGAGGAACACCAGUGGCGAAGGCGGCUCUCUGGUCUGUAACUGACGCUGAGGCUCGAAAGCGUGGGGAGC
rnacentral:rRNA from 1 species